rnacentral:rRNA from 1 species
UUCUUGUCACUUUAGAGGAAGUAAAGUCGUAAACAUGUCUCCGUUGGUGAACCAGCGGAGGGAUCAUUACCGAGUUUACAACUCCCAAACCCCUGUGAACAUACCACUUGUUGCCUCGGCGGAUCAGCCCGCUCCCGGUAAAACGGGACGGCCCGCCAGAGGACCCCUAAACUCUGUUUCUAUAUGUAACUUCUGAGUAAAACCAUAAAUAAAUCAAAACUUUCAACAACGGAUCUCUUGGUUCUGGCAUCGAUGAAGAACGCAGCAAAAUGCGAUAAGUAAUGUGAAUUGCAGAAUUCAGUGAAUCAUCGAAUCUUUGAACGCACAUUGCGCCCGCCAGUAUUCUGGCGGGCAUGCCUGUUCGAGCGUCAUUUCAACCCUCAAGCACAGCUUGGUGUUGGGACUCGCGUUAAUUCGCGUUCCUCAAAUUGAUUGGCGGUCACGUCGAGCUUCCAUAGCGUAGUAGUAAAACCCUCGUUACUGGUAAUCGUCGCGGCCACGCCGUUAAACCCCAACUUCUGAAUGUUGACCUCGGAUCAGGUAGGA